rnacentral:rRNA from 1 species
AGUCGAGGGGUAUAAGGAGCUUGCUCCUUAGAGACCGGCGCACGGGUGCGUAACGCGUAUGCAAUCUACCUUUCACAGAGGGAUAGCCCAGAGAAAUUUGGAUUAAUACCUCAUAGUAUAUAUGGAUGGCAUCAUUUGUAUAUUAAAGUCACAACGGUGAAAGAUGAGCAUGCGUCCCAUUAGCUAGUUGGUAAGGUAACGGCUUACCAAGGCGACGAUAGGUAGGGGUCCUGAGAGGGAGAUCCCCCACACUGGUACUGAGACACGGACCAGACUCCUACGGGAGGCAGCAGUGAGGAAUAUUGGUCAAUGGGCGCAAGCCUGAACCAGCCAUGCCGCGUGCAGGAUGAAGCAUCUAUGGUGUGUAAACUGCUUUUGUACGGGAAGAAACAGAGGUUCGUGAACCUCCUUGACGGUACCGUAAGAAUAAGGAUCGGCUAACUCCGUGCCAGCAGCCGCGGUAAUACGGAGGAUCCAAGCGUUAUCCGGAAUCAUUGGGUUUAAAGGGUCCGUAGGCGGUUUGGUAAGUCAGUGGUGAAAGCCCAUCGCUCAACGGUGGAACGGCCAUUGAUACUGCCA